GUCGAGGGGUAUUAGUCUUCGGACUAAGAGACCGGCGCACGGGUGCGUAACGCGUAUGCACUCUACCUUUCACAGAGGGAUAGCCCAGAGAAAUUUGGAUUAAUACCUCAUAGUAUAUAGCCCUGGCAUCAGGAUUAUAUUAAAGUCACAACGGUGAAAGAUGAGCAUGCGUCCCAUUAGCUAGUUGGUAAGGUAACGGCUUACCAAGGCUACGAUGGGUAGGGGUCCUGAGAGGGAGAUCCCCCACACUGGUACUGAGACACGGACCAGACUCCUACGGGAGGCAGCAGUGAGGAAUAUUGGACAAUGGGCGCAAGCCUGAUCCAGCCAUGCCGCGUGCAGGAUGACGGUCCUAUGGAUUGUAAGCUGCUUUUAUACAGGAAGAAACACUCCCUCGUGAGGGAGCUUGACGGUACUGUAAGAAUAAGGAUCGGCUAACUCCGUGCCAGCAGCCGCGGUAAUACGGAGGAUCCAAGCGUUAUCCGGAAUCAUUGGGUUUAAAGGGUCCGUAGGCGGUUUGGUAAGUCAGUGGUGAAAGCCCAUCGCUCAACGGUGGAACGGCCAUUGAUACUGCCAGACUUGAAUUAUUAGGAAGUAACUAGAAUAUGUAGUGUAGCGGUGAAAUGCUUAGAGAUUACAUGGAAUACCAAUUGCGAAGGCAGGUUACUACUAAUGGAUUGACGCUGAUGGACGAAAGCGUGGGUAGCGAACAGGAUUAGAUACCCUGGUAGUCCACGCCGUANACGAUGGAUACUAGCUGUUGGGNGCAAUCUCAGUGGCUAAGCGAAAGUGAUAAGUAUCCCACCUGGGGAGUACGUUCGCAAG
rnacentral:rRNA from 1 species